UUUGUAUUUGAGUUUCAGCUGUCAAUUGUUUUCAAUAAUUUUGUAAAAAAAUGAAGUUUGUCUGUUAGUUUAUGUUUUGAUUGUUUCCAUUUCAAAAUUAUUCAGUGUUGUCCACGUACUAGUUGUUAUAUAAAAAUUGUUGUCCUCCUUACGGUGUCUAGUAGCGACAUUUUAUCCUCCAAACAUUAUACAUAUUUAACUUACAAUUUUUUUUUUAGAUGGCAGUACAGCAGAUCAUUCAAUACAUGCUGAGACAUGAAUUCACAUUUCUACCACUAUGCUAAAUAUCAACAUCCUACGUUGAAAAUGUACUAGACGAUACUGCUAAUAAUAAUGGUUUUGUGCAACAUGGCAGUACAGCAGAUCACUCAAUACAUGCUGAGACAUGAAUUCACAUUUCUACCACUAUGCAAAAUAUCAACAUCCUACGUUGAAAAUGUACUAGACGAUACUGCUAAUAAUAAGGGUUUUGUGCAACGUGCGUGUAAUGGAUGGCAGUACAGCAGAUCACUCGAGGCAUGCUGAGACCAUGAAUUCACAUUUCUAUCACUUGGGAAAGUUACAACAUCUUCCGUUGUAAAUGGAAUAGAAGAUGGCAGUAUAUCAGAUCAAUCAAGGCACGCUGAGACACGAAUUCACAUUUCUACCACCAAGGAAAGUAUCAACAUCCUAUGUUGAAAAUGGACUAGAAGAUACUGAUAAUAAUAUUGGAUUUAUGCAAUGUGCGUGCAAUGGUUAUUGAAUAUAAUUGAUACUAAAUUAAUACCUGUGAAACAAUUGAGAUUUGUUAAAUAUCUGAAUAAAAUAAUA